rnacentral:rRNA from 1 species
AGAGUGAACGCUGGCGGCAGGCCUAACACAUGCAAGUCGAACGGCAGCACAGGAGAGCUUGCUCUCUGGGUGGCGAGUGGCGGACGGGUGAGGAAUACGUCGGAAUCUGCCUAUUUGUGGGGGAUAACGUAGGGAAACUUACGCUAAUACCGCAUACGACCUACGGGUGAAAGCGGAGGACCUUCGGGCUUCGCGCAGAUAGAUGAGCCGACGUCGGAUUAGCUAGUUGGCGGGGUAAAGGCCCACCAAGGCGACGAUCCGUAGCUGGUCUGAGAGGAUGAUCAGCCACACUGGAACUGAGACACGGUCCAGACUCCUA